rnacentral:misc_RNA from 1 species
GAUGAAGAACGCAGCGAAAUGCGAUAACUAAUGUGAAUUGCAGAAUUCCGUGAAUCAUCGAGUCUUUGAACGCACAUUGCGCCCCCUGGUAUUCCGGGGGGCAUGCCUGUCCGAGCGUCAUUGCUGCCCAUCAAGCACGGCUUGUGUGUUGGGUCCUCGUCCCCCCCGGGGGACGUGCCCGAAAGGCAGCGGCGGCACCGCGUCCGGUCCUCGAGCGUAUGGGGCUUUGUCACCCGCUCUGCAGGCCCGGCCGGCGCUGGCCGACGCGAAAGCAACCAUUUUUUCUCCAGGUUGACCUCGGAUCAGGUAGGGAUACCCGCUGAACUUAAGCAUAUCAAUAACGGAGGA